GAUGAACGCUGGCGGCGUGCCUAAUACAUGCAAGUCGAGCGAACGCACGAGAAGCUUGCUUCUCUGGUGUUAUCGGCGGACGGGUUAGUAACACGUGGAUAACCUACCUAUAAGACUGGGUUAACUUCGGGAAACCGGCGCUAAUACCGGAUAAUAUUUUGAACCGCAUGGUUCAAAAUUGAAAGACGUUCUUGCUGUCACUUAUAGAUGGAUCCGCGCUGCAUUAUCUAUUUGGUAAGGUAACGGCUGACCACGGCAACGAUGAAUAGCCGACCUGGGAGGGAGAACGGGCACACUGGAGAGGAGGAACGGUCAAGACGCCAACGGGAGGCAGCAGAAAGGAAUCGGCGGCGAAGGGCGAAAGCAUGACGGGGAAACGCCGCGAGAGUGAUGAAGGACUUCGGAUCGUAGAAAGAUGUUAUUAGGGAAGAAAAUAUGUGUAAGUAACUGUGAACAUAUUGACGGUACCUAAGCAGAAAGCCACGGCUAACUACGUG
rnacentral:rRNA from 1 species